GGCCUGGGGAGCGGGGUUACAGAGCUUUUAUAGGGGAGUGCUGGGGGUCAGGGUCCAAGGGCUAUGCUGACUGCAGGUACUAUCUACUGGGGCCUGCUGGCCUGGGCCGGCUCUGGGUAAUUUUCCUCUUCACAGGCAAUUUGGAAUUUCCUGGUCUGCACCACUGAGGUAAUCUGUUUGACACAGUCCCACUCUCACCCCAGAAGGAAAAGGACCUCGCCUCAAACAACCCUUUCUUUUCGCUUACUAGUAGUUAUUGUUUUACUCUGAUACCUUCCUAAAAGCUUUGCAAUCAACUGUAAGCCAGAAGGCUUCAUCUUCAACAAAAGGGACUGACUAUCUCAGAGACCCAUGGAAAGGACUAAGACAUGUACUCCAUAGUAGAGGAUUCUGAUAGCAUUAAUAACUCUUAAAUCCUACCCUGGAUUGAAUAAGGAUUUCUAAAACUCUGCUGGGGAAAGCUGAUGGGUUUAUGAAAUUACUAAUUCAAGAUCAAGUGGUACAAGAAUUAAUUACACACGGGCGCCUGGGUGGCUCAGUGGGUUAAGCC